GUGGAGGAGGAGACGGUGAUGGUGGUGGUGGGGACUUGUAGUAGUAUGGUGGAGGAGGAGAUGGCGAUGGUGGUGGAGGAGACUUGUAGUAGUAGGGAGGUGGAGGUGACGGGGAUGGUGGUGGUGGUGAUUUGUAGUAGUAUGGAGGUGGGGGUGAUGGCGAUGGUGGUGGAGGAGACUUGUAGUAGUAUGGUGGUGGGGUGGUGGUGGGGAUUUGUAGUAGUAUGGUGGAGGAGGAGAUGGGGAAGGUGGUGGUGGGGAUUUGUAGUAGUAUGGUGGAGGAGGAGAUGGGGAAGGUGGUGGUGGAGACUUGUAGUAGUAUGGUGGAGGAGGAGAUGGAGAUGGUGGGGGUGGUGAUUUGUAGUAGUAGGGAGGUGGAGGUGAUGGGGAUGGUGGUGGUGGGGAUUUGUAGUAGUAUGGUGGAGGAGGAGAUGGGGAAGGUGGUGGUGGGGAUUUGUAGUAGUAUGGUGGAGGAGGAGAUGGGGAAGGUGGUGGUGGGGAUUUGUAGUAGUAUGGUGGAGGAGGAGAUGGGGAAGGUGGUGGUGGGGAUUUGUAGUAGUAUGGUGGAGGAGGAGAUGGGGAAGGUGGUGGUGGGGAUUUGUAGUAGUAUGGUGGAGGAGGAGAUGGGGAAGGUGGUGGUGGGGAUUUGUAGUAGUAUGGUGGAGGAGGAGAUGGCGAUGGUGGUGGAGGAGACUUGUAGUAGUAAGGAGGUGGAGGUGAUGGAGAUGGUGGUGGAGGAGAUUUGUAGUAGUAUGGAGGUGGCGGUGAUGGAGAUGGUGGUGGAGGAGAUUUGUAAUAGUAUGGUGGUGGAGGAGAUGGGUCUGGUGGUGGUGGAGACUUGUAGUAGUAUGGUGGAGGAGGAGAUGGUGAUGGUGGAGGAGGAGACUUGUAAUAGUAGGGAGGUGGGGGUGAUGGAGAUGGUGGUGGAGGAGACUUGUAAUAGUAUGGUGGAGGAGGAGAUGGCGAUGGUGGUGGUGGAGACUUGUAAUAGUAGGGAGGUGGAGGUGAUGGUGAUGGUGGUGGAGGAGAUUUGUAGUAGUAUGGAGGUGGUGGUGAUGGAGAUGGUGGUGGAGGAGACUUGUAAUAGUAUGGUGGUGGUGGUGGGGACUUGUAGACGUACUUAGGUGAUGGUGGUGGUGGGGACUUGUAGACGUACUUAGGUGAGGGAGGUGGUGGAGACUUGUACACGUAUUUAGGUGAUGGAGGAGGUGGUGAUUUGUACACGUACUUCGGUGAUGGAGGUGGUGGUGACUUGUACACGUAUUUAGGUGAUGGAGGAGGUGGUGAUUUGUACACGUACUUCGGUGAUGGAGGUGGUGGUGACUUGUACACGUAUUUAGGUGAUGGAGGAGGUGGUGACUUGUACACGUACUUUGGUGAUGGAGGCGGUGGUGACUUGUAUACGUAUUUAGGUGAUGGAGGAGGUGGUGACUUGUACACGUACUUUGGUGAUGGAGGUGGUGGUGAUUUGUACACGUAUUUAGGUGACGGAGGAGGUGGUGACUUGUACACGUACUUUGGUGAUGGAGGUGGUGGUGACUUGUACACGUACUUUGGUGAUGGAGGUGGUGGUGACUUGUACACGUACUUUGGUGAUGGAGGUGGUGGUGACUUGUACACGUACUUGGGGGAUGGAGGAGGUGGGGACUUGUACACGUAUUUUGGUGAUG
rnacentral:lncRNA from 1 species